GAUGAACGCUAGCGACAGGCUUAACACAUGCAAGUCGAGGGGCAGCAUGAUUUGUAGCAAUACAGAUUGAUGGCGACCGGCGCACGGGUGAGUAACGCGUAUGCAACUUACCUAUCAGAGGGGGAUAGCCCGGCGAAAGUCGGAUUAAUACCCCAUAAAACAGGGGUCCCGCAUGGGAAUAUUUGUUAAAGAUUCAUCGCUGAUAGAUAGGCAUGCGUUCCAUUAGGCAGUUGGCGGGGUAACGGCCCACCAAACCGACGAUGGAUAGGGGUUCUGAGAGGAAGGUCCCCCACAUUGGAACUGAGACACGGUCCAAACUCCUACGGGAGGCAGCAGUGAGGAAUAUUGGUCAAUGGGCGAGAGCCUGAACCNGCCAAGUAGCGUGAAGGAUGAAGGUCCUACGGAUUGUAAACUUCUUUUAUAA
rnacentral:rRNA from 1 species